AACGCACAUUGCGCCCUUUAGUAUUCUGAAGGGCAUGCCUGUUCGAGCGUCAUUAUCACUAAUCAAGCUAGGCUUGUUAUUGGACCUCUUGUCGUUAAAAGACGGGCCCCAAAGAUAAUGACGGCGUCAAUUGGACCCUAGAUGCAACGAGCUUUCAUUAGCACGCAGUUUAGUGAAGCCUUUUGACCCGGUCGUUUUAUAACCAAUUUCUAAGGUUGACCUCGGAUCAGGUAGGAAUACCCGCUGAACUUAA
rnacentral:misc_RNA from 1 species